CCCCAGACUCCUACGGGAGGCAGCAGUGGGGAAUAUUGCACAAUGGGGGAAACCCUGAUGCAGCGACGCCGCGUGAGCGAUGAAGUAUUUCGGUAUGUAAAGCUCUAUCAGCAGGGAAGAAAAUGACGGUACCUGACUAAGAAGCCCCGGCUAACUACGUGCCAGCAGCCGCGGUAAUACGUAGGGGGCAAGCGUUAUCCGGAUUUACUGGGUGUAAAGGGAGCGUAGACGGCAAUGCAAGCCAGAUGUGAAAGCCCGGGGCUCAACCCCGGGACUGCAUUUGGAACUGUGUAGCUGGAGUGUCGGAGAGGCAGGCGGAAUUCCUAGUGUAGCGGUGAAAUGCGUAGAUAUUAGGAGGAACACCAGUGGCGAAGGCGGCCUGCUGGACGAUGACUGACGUUGAGGCUCGAAAGCGUGGGGAGCAAACAGGAUUAGAUACCCCGGUAACC
rnacentral:rRNA from 1 species